rnacentral:snRNA from 1 species
CCUAAACGUGUCACAAUCC